rnacentral:rRNA from 1 species
GACGAACGCUGGCGGCGUGCUUAACACAUGCAAGUCGAACGGAAAUGCCCUGCUUUUGUGGGGUGCUCGAGUGGCGAACGGGUGAGUAACACGUGAGUGACCAGCCCUUGACUUAGGGAUAACUUAAGGAAACUGGGGCUAAUAACGGAUAGGAGCUGCGGCUGCAUGGUGGGGGAUGGAAAGUUUCGGCGGUUGGGGAUGGACUCGCGGCUUAUCAGGUUGUGGGUGGGGUAGUGUCAUACCCAGGCUUUGACGGGUAGCCGGCCUGAGCUGGUGACCGGCCCCAGUGCGAUUGGACUACGGCACGGACUCCUACGCUAGGCAGAAGUGGGGUAUGGUGUACUGUGGGCUGAGGCCUGCUGCAGCAACGCCGCGUGGGGUAUGACGGCCUUCGGGUUGUAUUCCGCUUUCGCCUGUUACGAAGCGUGAGUGACGGUAAUGGGUAAAGAAGCACCGGCUAACUACGUG